CACCACAUAGUUAAAAUCUGGAGUCAUUGAUCUCAGAAUUUUUGCUACCACUUCACCAUCUCCCUUGCUCUCCCCAUUUGCCUUCAUCUUGUUGACGAUGGUAAGAGUUCUAGCAAAAUAAUCGCUGACAGAUUCUCCUUCCUUCAUUUCAAGAACUUCAAACUCUUUUCGUAGAGCUUGCAAAUGUGACUGCUUUACCCUUGAUGCGCCUUGAUGUUUUUGCCUCAUCGAAUCCCAUAUGCUCUUAGAUGUUUCUUCGUUGAGAAUUGUCUCUUGUUCAAAGCAAUCUAGAGCCUGAAACAAGUAAUUCUUUG
rnacentral:lncRNA from 1 species